rnacentral:rRNA from 1 species
AUUGAACGCUGGCGGCAGGCCUAACACAUGCAAGUCGAGCGAGCGGCGGACGGGUGAGUAAUGUCUGGGAAACUGCCUGAUGGAGGGGGAUAACUACUGGAAACGGUCGCUAAUACCGCAUACCCUCAGAUGUGCCCAGAUGGGAUUGGCUCGUAGGUGGGUUAACGGCUCACCUAGGCGACGAUCCCUAGCUGGUCUGAGAGGAUGACCAGCCAGACUGGAACGGAGACACGGUCCAGACUCCUACGGUGGGCAGCAGUGGGGAAUAUUGCACAAUGGGGGCAAGCCUGAUGCAGCAAGGCGGCGUGUGUGAAGAAGGCCUUCGGGUUGUAAAGCACUUUCAGCGGGGAGGCGUUACCCUCAGAAGAAGCACCGGCUAACUCCGUGCCAGCAGCCGCGGUAAUUC